rnacentral:rRNA from 1 species
ACGAACGCUGGCGGCGUGCUUAACACAUGCAAGUCGAACGGAAAGGCCCUGCUUUUGUGGGGUGCUCGAGUGGCGAACGGGUGAGUAACACGUGAGUAACCUGCCCUUGACUUUGGGAUAACUUCAGGAAACUGGGGCUAAUACCGGAUAGGAGCUCCUGCUGCAUGGUGGGGGUUGGAAGGUUUCGGCGGUUGGGGAUGGACUCGCGGCUUAUCAGCUUGUUGGUGGGGUAGUGGCUUACCAAGGCUUUGACGGGUAGCCGGCCUGAGAGGGUGACCGGCCACAUUGGGACUGAGAUACGGCCCAGACUCCUACGGGAGGCAGCAGUGGCGAAUAUUGCACAAUGGGCGGAAGCCUGAUGCAGCAACGCCGCGUGCGGGAUGACGGCCUUCGGGUUGUAAACCGCUUUCGCCUGUGACGAAGCGUGAGUGACGGUAAUGGGUAAAGAAGCACCGGCUAACUACGUG